CUUUCUGUAGCUCAGUUGGUUAGAGCGCUGCACCGAAAUCGCAAGGGCGCAGCUAGGUUCGAUUCCUGGCAGAGAGU